rnacentral:rRNA from 1 species
ACUUCGGUGUGAGUAAGUGGCGCACGGGUGAGGAACGCGUGGAUAAUCUGCCCUUUGGCGGGGAAUAACUCGGGGAAACUCGGGCUAAUACCGCAUAAGACUACAGUAUCUGCGGAUACAGUGGUUAAAGGUUUACCACCAGAGGAUGAGUCCGCGUCCGAUUAGCUUGAUGGUAGGGUAACGGCCUACCAUGGCUCCGAUCGGUAGCUGGUCUGAGAGGAUGAUCAGCCACACUGGAACUGAGACACGGUCCAGACUCCUACGGGAGGCAGCAGUAGGGAAUAUUGCGCAAUGGAGGAAACUCUGACGCAGCGACGCCGCGUGAGUGAUGAAGGCCCUCGGGUCGUAAAGCUCUGUCCUUAGGGAAUAAAAAAAUGAAGGUACCUAAGAAGAAAGGACCGGCUAACUUCGUGCCAGCAGCCGCGGUAAUACGAGGGGUCCUAGCGUUGUUCGGAAUCAUUGGGCUUAAAGCGGGUGCAGGUGGCUUGGUAAGUCAGAAGUGAAAGCCCUGGGCUCAACCUAGGAAGUGCUUUUGAUACUGUUAAGCUUGAGUGUGGAAGAGGUAAGUAGAAUUCCAGGUGUAGUGGUGAAAUACGUAGAUAUCUGGAGGAACACCGGUGGGGAAGCCGGCUUACUGGUCCAACACUGACACUCAGACCCGAAAGCGUGGGUAGCAAACAGGAUUAGAUACCCUGGUAGUCCACGCCGUAAACGAUGGACACUUGGUGUUGGAGGUUUUGACCCCUUCAGUGCCGGAGCAAAAGCGUUAAGUGUCCCGCCUGGGGAGUACGGUCGCAAGAUUAAAACUCAAAGAAAUUGACGGGGGCCCGCACAAGCGGUGGAGCAUGUGGUUUAAUUCGAUGCAACGCGAAGAACCUUACCUGGCCUUGACAUGUAGUGGAAGACUACCAGAGAUGGUGUCGCCUUCGGGCCGCUACACAGGUGCUGCAUGGUUGUCGUCAGCUCGUGUCGUGAGAUGUUGGGUUAAGUCCCGCAACGAGCGCAACCCUUAUCAUUAGUUGCCAGCAUUUAGUUGGGCACUCUAGUGAGACCGCCUGCGUUAG